GAGUGAAGAAGGGUUUCGGCUCGUAAAGCUCUGUUGUUAAAGAAGAACGUGGGUGAGAGUAACUGUUCACCCAGUGACGGUAUUUAACCAGAAAGCCACGGCUAACUACGUGCCAGCAGCCGCGGUAAUACGUAGGUGGCAAGCGUUAUCCGGAUUUAUUGGGCGUAAAGCGAGCGCAGGCGGUCUUUUAAGUGUAAUGUGAAAUCCUUCGGCUCAACCGAAGAAGUGCAUUGGAAACUGGGAGACUUGAGUGCAGAAGAGGACAGCGGAACUCCAUGUGUAGCGGUGAAAUGCGUAGAUAUAUGGAAGAACACCAGUGGCGAAGGCGGCUGUCUGGUCUGUAACUGACGCUGAGGCUCGAAAGCAUGGGUAGCGAACAGGAUUAGAUACCCUGGUAGUCCAUGCCGUAAACGAUGAUUACUAAGUGUUGGAGGGUUUCCGCCCUUCAGUGCUGCAGCUAACGCAUUAAGUAAUCCGCCUGGGGAGUACGACCGCAAGGUUGAAACUCAAAAGAAUUGACGGGGGCCCGCACAAGCGGUGGAGCAUGUGGUUUAAUUCGAAGCUACGCGAAGAACCUUACCAGGUCUUGACAUCUUCUGCCAACCUAAGAGAUUAUGCGUUCCCUUCGGGGACAGAAUGACAGGUGGUGCAUGGUUGUCGUCAGCUCGUGUCGUGAGAUGUUGGGUUAAGUCCCGCAACGAGCGCAACCCUUAUUACUAGUUGCCAGCA
rnacentral:rRNA from 1 species